rnacentral:rRNA from 1 species
AUUGAACGCUGGCAGCAGGCUUAACACAUGCAAGUCGAGCGGGGUGAUGGUGCUUGCACUAUCACUUAGCGGCGGACGGGUGAGUAAUGCUUAGGAAUCUGCCUAUUAGUGGGGGACAACAUCUCGAAAGGGAUGCUAAUACCGCAUACGUCCUACGGGAGAAAGCAGGGGAUCACUUGUGACCUUGCGCUAAUAGAUGAGCCUAAGUCGGAUUAGCUAGUUGGGGGGGUAAAGGCCUACCAAGGCGACGAUCUGUAGCGGGUCUGAGAGGAUGAUCCGCGACACUGGGACUGAGAAACGGCCCAGACUCCUACGGGAGGCAGCAGUGGGGAAUAUUGGACAAUGGGGGGAACGCUGAUCCAGCCAUGCCGCGUGUGUGAAGAAGGCCUUAUGGUUGUAAAGCACUUUAAGCGAGGAGGAGGCUCUUUUGGUUAAUACCCAAGAUGAGUGGACGUUACUCGCAGAAUAAGCACCGGCUAACUCUGUGCCAGCCGCCGCGGUAA